rnacentral:sRNA from 1 species
AGAGCGGCUGGCGGCGGAGGGCGUCGGAGGAGAGCUUGCGGAGCGCCGUCGCCAUGGCCAUGGUGGGCGAGCGGCGAGCGGCGGGUGGUGGUGGAGGCGGGGGGGUCUCGGGGUUUGGGAGGUAGUGGAUUCGCGUGGCGUUUUUAU